AGUGGCGGACGGGUGGGUAACGCGUGGGUAACCUGCCUCAUACAGGGGGAUAGCAGCUGGAAACGGCUGGUAAUACCGCAUAAGCGCACAGUACCACAUGGUACAGUGUGAAAAACUCCGGUGGUAUGAGAUGGACCCGCGUCUGAUUAGGUAGUUGGUGGGGUAACGGCCUACCAAGCCGACGAUCAGUAGCCGACCUGAGAGGGUGACCGGCCACAUUGGGACUGAGACACGGCCCAA
rnacentral:rRNA from 1 species